CAGUCUCAUCCAGAUGCUCACUGGAAGAAGGGCUUUCUUCUUCUUCUCCGGCUAGUCUCUCCGCCGCGGCGCAACCGUCGUCUUCCCGGCACGCCUGAAAAGCCACAUUUCUGUCAGCCAUGGAGCUUUGGUAACCAACCUAGCAGAAGAUAAACUAAACAAAAGCAGGGAGCAGAGAUGAUGAGGACAUAUUGUUCCAGUAGUGGAAGCUUAGAUGCCUCAAAUACUAAUAACAUAAAUGGGCUGCUAUUGAUUAUGUGUAAAUAAAUAAAUCAUCACCCUACUUGCUAAAACUAAUAUUUGUUAUUUA